AGGGAGAGCAAGGAUUGCGUCUCUUUCUCAAUCAUCCCAGCUCCAAACCGUGGACGCAUAGAAGGAUAGCAGAAGCUCUUUGCACACUCAUUUCCCUCUUCACCUUGUUCGGCAGAGGAGCAACCUUGAGGAGGUGAGAUUAAGUUUUCGUGGCCCUUUUGUUCCUCCUCACUUGGACUGUUUCUGAUUAAGUUUCCCAUUUUCUUGAAAUGCCUCUGUCUUGAAUGAGUCGCCCCAACCUUUGCAUGCAACGAGAGUUGAUUUCUUUGGGCUUAGGAGAGUGCAGUUUCUAAUUAAUCUUGGAAGCAUGAUGGAAGGUUCAUAAACCUCAAGGAUGCCGGAUGGACUUGGGGGCUGUUUUGAUUAAAAAUGUUAAAGACUUGAGGUGCACAUAACUCUUAAAGUGUAGGCUGAUUUUGGUGCUGCCUUGGGUUGAAAAUUGGACACACCAAGGAGGACGAAAAAGCAUAUGAUGACGUUGUUAUUUUGGAUAUUUGCUGUUGACUGCUGCUGUUUGGACUUUCUGUUGUUGGCUGCUUUGUCUAUUUGAUGUUUGCUGAUUAUAUUCUAAUGAUGUAAUAUUUUGGAAGGAUGGGCUACUGUUGGAACAUGUUUUAAAUUACUGUUUUUUAAGAUUUUAUGGUCAGCUAGUAUUUUGAAAGACUCGGUUUACGUUUUGCGAAAAACAAU